GUGGGGAAUCUUCCGCAAUGGACGAAAGUCUGACGGAGCAACGCCGCGUGAGUGAUGACGGUCUUCGGAUUGUAAAGCUCUGUUAAUCGGGACGAAAGAGCUCUGUGUGAAUAAUGCAGAGAAGUGACGGUACCGGAAUAGAAAGCCACGGCUAACUACGUGCCAGCAGCCGCGGUAAUACGUAGGUGGCAAGCGUUGUCCGGAAUUAUUGGGGGUAAAGCGCGCGCAGGCGGGUUUUUAAGUCUGUCUUAAAAGUUCGGGGCUUAACCCCGUGAGGGGAUGGAAACUGGAAACCUAGAGUAUCGGAGAGGAAAGCGGAAUUCCUAGUGUAGCGGUGAAAUGCGUAGAUAUUAGGAAGAACACCAGUGGCGAAGGCGGCUUUCUGGACGAAAACUGACGCUGAGGCGCGAAAGCCAGGGGAGCAAACGGGAUUAGAAACCCGGGUAGUCC
rnacentral:rRNA from 1 species